rnacentral:rRNA from 1 species
AACGCGAAGAACCUUACCCAGGCUUGACAUCCCCUGACCGGCGGUGAAAGCCGUCUUCCCCGCAAGGGGCAGGGAGACAGGUGUUGCAUGGCUGUCGUCAGCUCGUGUCGUGAGAUGUUGGGUUAAGUCCCGCAACGAGCGCAACCCUCGCCUCCUGUUGCCAGCCGCAAGGCGCACUCAGGAGGAACUGCCGGGGUAACCUGGAGGAAGGCGGGGAUGACGUCAAGUCGGCAUGGCCCUUACGCCUGGGGCUACACCCAUGCUACAAUGGGUCGGACAGAGGGCUGCAAGAGCGCAAGCUGGAGCGAAUCCCAAAAACCGGCCCUCAGUUGGGAUUGGGGUCUGCAACUCGACCCCAUGAACGUGGAAUCGCUAGUAACCGCCGGUCAGCCAAACGGCGGUGAAUCCGUUCCCGGGCCUUGUACACACCGAGACGAC